rnacentral:rRNA from 1 species
UACGAAGGGGGCUAGCGUUGCUCGGAACCACUGGGCGUAAAGGGCGCGUAGGCGGCCAUUCAAGUCAGAGGUGAAAGCCCAAGGCUCAACCUUGGAACUGCCUUUGAUACUGUUUGGCUUGAGACCGGUAGAGGUAAGUGGAACUGCGAGUGUAGAGGUGAAAUUCGUAGAUAUUCGCAAGAACACCAGUGGCGAAGGCGGCUCACUGGACUGGUAUUGACGCUGAGGUGCGAAAGCGUGGGGAGCAAACAGG